rnacentral:lncRNA from 1 species
ACAGCUAUUUCCACAACUCAACUUGGUUCAGUUCAAGUUGCUCAUGGUUGUAAAAUUACUUCAUUUGAUUGGUCACUAAAGAGAAAAUCUACUAUCUUGACUCAAUUUGCUGGAAUUGAUUCUAUGUUAUCUUUGUCACCUAGUAUUGUGGCAGCUGGUGCUACUGAUUUUUCAGGAUUACAAAUUAUUGAUGUUAGUAAAGGGUUUGUUAAGGAGACCUAGUAUUGUUGCAGCUGGUGCUACUGAUUUUUCAGGAUUACAAAUUAUUGAUGUUAGUAAAGGGUUUGUUAAGGAGACAUUAACUUGGGAAAAUGUGACUAAAUCUGGUUCAACAGUACAAGCAAUAGGAUCCUCAAAAGAUUUCUUGUUUACUAGUUUCGAAUCGAGUAGGAGAAAUUCUAACUGCAUUAUGAUAUAUGAUCUUAACGAUAGUUUUAGGCCUGUUGCUGAGAUUGGACAUUAUGAAAUCUUUGGUGCUGAAUUGGAUUCAGCCAUUCCAGCUACUAAAUUAAGUUGGAUUUCUAGUCAUAACUUGUUGAUGGCGUCUGGAUCGCAUAGUGGACCUUCUGGUGUAAGGGGGAAUAUUAGAUUUUGGGAUAUAAGGUCAGGGAAUGUAGUGUGGGAGAUAAAGGAAAAUGUCGAUUGUUUCUCUGAUUGU